AAGUGGUACGCGAGCUGCGUUUACAAUGUCGUGAGGCAGUUCUGUCCUUAUCUGCCGUGGGCGUUUGAAGAAUGAAGGGGGCUGCUCCUAGUCCUUGAGGUCCUGAGUGGACGAACCUCUGGUGUGCGGGUUGUGUCGCCAGACGCAUUGCCCGGUAGCUAAGUUCGGAAUCGAUAUCCGCUGAAAGCUUCUAAGCGGGAAGCGAGUCCUGAGAUGAGGCUUCCCUGAUUCUUUAAGUAUCCUAACGGGUUGGAGGAGACUACGACUUUGAUAGGUCAGGGGUGUAAGUAGUUUGAUGUAAGGGCCAAACUGAUACUAAUCUCCCGUGAGGCUUAUCCAUGUUACUCUCAAGG
rnacentral:rRNA from 1 species